GCUCCACUGUCCGGAUCUACUUCACUACUGUCAGCAUACACUAAAAUGCAAAACUGACCUCGUUCUGCGCAUGCUCCAACGAUUAUGAGAAACGAUAGAUUGCCAAUACGACUUAACCUUAAGAUUGACCACAUUGUUGACAAUUGUUGAUCUGAAUCUGAACUGUAUAUAUAAAUAAUCUUUAUUUACAGAAAAAGGCUAUCGACCCAAUCGGUCUUUCUGCCCUCUGAAGUAUUAAACAUGUUUAGGAGGUUCAAAAUUCAAGUAUACUCUGGAGUCUGAAAGGACGAAAUUUUAAUACUCUCUUUGCGACCAAACUGAUUCAACUGUGUCGGGUAGAAGGUAGAAGUGGCGAUAUCAUAAAUUGUCACCCAGAUGCAAAGCAAGAAAUAAACAACCAUUCAAUGUUGUUCCAUUGAAGUUGCAAUCAACAUCUUAAUAAUGUUCAUGUCUUAUUUACUA